GACGAACGCUGGCGGCGUGCCUAAUACAUGCAAGUAGAACGCUGAAGGCGGAGCUUGCUUCUCUGGAUGAGUUGCGAACGGGUGAGUAACGCGUAGGUAACCUGCCUGGUAGCGGGGGAUAACUAUUGGAAACGAUAGCUAAUACCGCAUAAGAGUAGGUGUCGCAUGACAUUUGCUUAAAAGGUGCAAUUGCAUCACUACCAGAUGGACCUGCGUUGUAUUAGCUAGUUGGUGAGGUAACGGCUCACCAAGGCAACGAUACAUAGCCGACCUGAGAGGGUGAUAGGCCACACUGGGACUGGGACACGGCCCAGACUCCUACGAGAGGCAGCAGUAGGGAAUCUUCGGCAAUGGACGGAAGUCUGACCGAGCAACGCCGCGUGAGUGAAGAAGGUUGUCGGAUCGUAAAGCUCUGUUGUAAGAGAAGAACGAGUGUGAGAGUGGAAAGUUCACACUGUGACGGUAUCUUACCAGAAAGGUACGGCUAACUACGUG
rnacentral:rRNA from 1 species